rnacentral:tRNA from 1 species
GCCUUCGUGGUGUAGUGGUCAGUACGCUCGACGCGUAACCGAGAGGUCCGUGGUUCGAUUCCCGGCGAAAGCC